rnacentral:rRNA from 1 species
GAUGAACGCUGGCGGCGUGCCUAAUACAUGCAAGUCGAGCGAACGGACGAGAAGCUUGCUUCUCUGAUGUUAGCGGAGGACGGGUGUGUAACACGUGGAUACCCUACCUAUAAUACUGGGAUAACUUCGGGAAACCGGAGCUAACCCCGGAUGAUAUUUUGAACCGCAUGGUUCAAUAGUGAAAGACGGUCUUGCUGUCACUUCUAGCUGCAUCCGCGCUGCAUUAGCUAGUUGGUAAGGUAACGGCUUACCACGGCAACGAUGCAUAGCCGACCUGAGAGGGUGAUCGGCCACACUGGAACGGAGACACGGUCCAGACUCCUACGGGAGGCAGCAGUAGGGAAUCUUCCGCAAUGGGCGGAAGCCUGACGGAGCAACGCCGCGUGAGUGAUGAAGGUCUUCGGAGCGUAAAACUCUGUUAUUAGGGAAGAACAUAUUUGUAAGGAACUGUGCACAUCGUGACGGUACCGAAUCAGAAAGCAACGGCUAACUACGUG